UACGUAGGGUGCAAGCGUUGUCCGGAAUUAUUGGGCGUAAAGAGCUCGUAGGCGGUCUGUUGCGUCGGCUGUGAAAACCCGGGGCUCAACUCCGGGCCUGCAGCCGAUACGGGCAGGCUAGAGUUCGGCAGGGGAGACUGGAAUUCCUGGUGUAGCGGUGAAAUGCGCAGAUAUCAGGAGGAACACCGGUGGCGAAGGCGGGUCUCUGGGCCGAUACUGACGCUGAGGAGCGAAAGCGUGGGGAGCGAACAGG
rnacentral:rRNA from 1 species